rnacentral:rRNA from 1 species
AUAUUGGUCAAUGGCCAGACGGCUGAACCAGCAACUUGGAAGAAUGAAUAACGAAUAAGUCGUAUAAAAUUCUAGAUAGGAAACAGAUAAUGACAAUUAACUAUCUAUUAGUCUUGACCAAAUUACGUGCCAGCAGUCGCGGCAACACGCAGAAGACAAGUGUUAUUCAUCUUUAUUCGGUUUAAAGGGUACCUAGACGGAAAAUAAAGCCAUAGUAGGGACUAAUAUUUCUAGAGUUUUAUGGAAGAGAGUCGAAUAUCUGGAGUAGAGAUACAAUAUGUUGAUACUGGGUAGACUGUUAACGGCGUAGGCAACUUUCUAUGUAAAAACUGACGUUGAGGGACGAAGCCCUGGGUAACGACAAGGAUUAGAUACCCCACUAGUCCAGGGAGACAAUGAUGAGUGCCAUAGGCUAGAAAUAUUAGUCUAUAAAUGAAAGUGUAAGCAUUCCACCUCAAGACUAAAGCGGCAACGCCCAAAUUGAAAUCAUUAGACCGUUCCUGAAACCAGUAGUGAAGUAUGUUAUUUAAUUCGAUAAUCCGCGAAUAACCUUACCACGUUUUGAAUACUACAGGUGCACGACCAAGUUAAUUAAAAUUAAAUUUAAUAGUAGUACAAGCGCUGCACGGCUGUCUUUAGUUGAUGUCGUGAGAUUUUGGUUAACUCCUCUAAUUAACGAAAACCCUUGUUUUAUAUAUAUAUAUAAAACAGUUCUCCACUAUAUUGGAUAAGAUAAUAGGGAUUAAGGCAAGUCAUCAUGGCCUGAAUAACGUGGGCUAUAGACGUGCCACACAUGCCUUUACAAAGGGAUGCGAUAUUG